rnacentral:rRNA from 1 species
UGGGCGCAAGCCUGAUGCAGCCAUGCCGCGUGUGUGAAGAAGGCCUUCGGGUUGUAAAGCACUUUCAGUCGUGAGGAAGGUGGUGUAGUUAAUAGCUGCAUUAUUUGACGUUAGCGACAGAAGAAGCACCGGCUAACUCCGUGCCAGCAGCCGCGGUAAUACGGAGGGUGCGAGCGUUAAUCGGAAUUACUGGGCGUAAAGCGCAUGCAGGUGGUUUGUUAAGUCAGAUGUGAAAGCCCGGGGCUCAACCUCGGAAUAGCAUUUGAAACUGGCAGACUAGAGUACUGUAGAGGGGGGUAGAAUUUCAGGUGUAGCGGUGAAAUGCGUAGAGAUCUGAAGGAAUACCGGUGGCGAAGGCGGCCCCCUGGACAGAUACUGACACUCAGAUGCGAAAGCGUGGGGAGCAAACAGGAUUAGAUACCCUGGUAGUCCACGCCGUAAACGAUGUCUACUUGGAGGUUGUGGCCUUGAGCCGUGGCUUUCGGAGCUAACGCGUUAAGUAGACCGCCUGGGGAGU